GUCGAGAAUUUUUCACAAUGGGGGCAACCCUGAUGGAGCGACGCCGCGUGGAGGAUGAAGGCCUUCGGGUUGUAAACUCCUGUCAUGCGGGAACAAGCAAGUGAUAGUACCGCAAGAGGAAGAGACGGCUAACUCUGUGCCAGCAGCCGCGGUAAUACAGAGGUCUCAAGCGUUGUUCGGAUUCAUUGGGCGUAAAGGGUGCGUAGGUGGUGACGCAAGUCUGGUGUGAAAUCUCGGAGCUCAACUCCGAAAUUGCACCGGAUACUGCGUGACUCGAGGACUGUAGAGGAGAUCGGAAUUCACGGUGUAGCAGUGAAAUGCGUAGAUAUCGUGAGGAAGACCAGUUGCGAAGGCGGAUCUCUGGGCAGUUCCUGACACUGAGGCACGAAGGCCAGGGGAGCAAACGGGAUUAGAAACCCUGGUAGUCC
rnacentral:rRNA from 1 species